AAGUCGUAACAAGGUAGCCGUAGGGGAACCUGCGGCUGGAUCACCUCCUUAAUCGAAGAUCUCAGCUUCUUCAUAAGCUCCCACACGAAUUGCUUGAUUCACUGGUUAGACGAUUGGGUCUGUAGCUCAGUUGGUUAGAGCGCACCCCUGAUAAGGGUGAGGUCGGCAGUUCGAAUCUGCCCAGACCCACCAAUUGUUGGUGUGCUGCGUGAUCCGAUACGGGGCCAUAGCUCAGCUGGGAGAGCGCCUGCUUUGCACGCAGGAGGUCAGGAGUUCGAUCCUCCUUGGCUCCACCAUCCAAACAAUCGUCGAAAGCUCAGAAAUGAAUGUUCGUGAAUGAACAUUGAUUUCUGGUCUUUGCACCAGAACUGUUCUUUAAAAAUUCGGGUAUGUGAUAGAAGUAAGACUGAAUGAUCUCUUUCACUGGUGAUCAUUCAAGUCAAGGUAAAAUUUGCGAGUUCAAGCGCGAAUUUUCGGCGAAUGUCGUCUUCACAGUAUAACCAGAUUGCUUGGGGUUAUAUAUGGUC
rnacentral:misc_RNA from 1 species